AGCCUUCAAUAUGGUCGUACAUAACCAUUUCGUGUUCAAGUGUAUUGGCAAAGUGAUAAGUGUGUACUCAUAUAUAACCGUUCCGUAUUCAGGUAUAUGGAAAAAAUAGUCUGAUCUGUGUACCCUAACUGUUCCGUGUUCGAGGGGUAGUAGUAUUUCAAAGUACUCAUGUAUGUCGUUCCAUGUUCGGGUACAUAGAGAACCACUGAUAAGUAUCUGUGUCUACGUAUAAUGUAUACUAACUAAUUGAUCCUCCAUAAUAGUGAUGAAGUAUACAAC
rnacentral:lncRNA from 1 species